UACCAGCUCUCCGAGUGGUAGGGAUGUUUAUUGGGCUUAAAGCGUCCGUAGCCGGCUUAGCAAGUCUCCUGUUAAAUUCAGCGACCUAAUCGUUGAGCCGCGGGAGAUACUACUAGGCUAGGAGGCGGGAGAGGUCAACGGUACUUCCGGGGUAGGGGUGAAAUCCUAUAAUCCCGGGAGGACCACCAGUGGCGAAGGCUGUUGACUAGAACGCGCUCGACGGUGAGGGACGAAAGCUGGGGGAGCGAACCGGAUUAGAUACCCGUGUAGUCCCAGCUGUAAACGAUGCGGGCUAGGUGUUGGGGUGGCUACGUGCCACUUCAGUGCCGCAGGGAAGCCAUUAAGCCCGCCGCCUGGGGAGUACGGCCGCAAGGCUGAAACUUAAAGGAAUUGGCGGGGGAGCACCACAAGGCGUGAAGCUUGCGGUUC
rnacentral:rRNA from 1 species